UGAAUACGAGAUGCUACGGCGUCGAAGCAGUGUAUGUCAGACUUCCAAGAAAAGCUCGCAAUGUCAUAAAUAAAGAAUGCCUGUACCAUAACCGACACAGGUGGGUAGGUAGAGUAUACUAAGGGGCGCGAGAUAACUCUCUCUAAGGAACUCGGCAAAAUAACUCCGUAACUUCGGGAGAAGGAGUGCCUUCUUUAAGAAGGUUGCAAUAACAAGAUCCAAGCAACUGUUUAUCAAAAACACAGGUCUCCGCUAAGUCGUAAGACGAUGUAUGGGGGCUGACGCCUGCCCAGUGCCAGAAGGUUAAAGAAGUUGGUUAGCUUUUGCGAAGCUGAUGACUGAAGCCCUGGUGAACGGCGGCCGUAACAAUAACGGUCCUAAGGUAGCGAAAUUCCUUGUCGGGUAAGUUCCGACCCGCACGAAAGGCGUAAUGAUUUGGAUACUGUCUCGGAGAGGGACUCGGUGAAAUAGACUUGUCUGUGAAGAUGCGGACUACCUGCACCAGGACAGAAAGACCCUAUGAAGCUUUACUGUAACUUGAAAUUGAAAUUGGACUUUAUUUGCGCAGUAUAGGUGGAAGGCGUUGAAAGUAAUCUUGCGGGAUUAGUGGAGCCAUCAGUGAGAUACCACUCCUAUAAUGUUAGAUUUCUAACUUUGGAUCAUGAUCUGGUCAAAGAACAGUUUCAGGCGGGCAGUUUGACUGGGGCGGUCGCCUCCCAAAUGGUAACGGAGGCGUACAAAGGUUUCCUCUGAACGGGUAGAAAUCGUAUCUAGAGUGUAAAGGCAUAAGGAAGCUUGACUGUGAGACCUACAAGUCGAGCAGGGACGAAAGUCGGUCUUAGUGAUCUGACGGUGCUGAGUGGAAAGGCCGUCACUCAACGGAUAAAAGUUACUCUAAGGAUAACAGUCUGAUCUCCCCCAAGAGUUCACAUCGACGGGGAGGUUUGGCACCUCGAUGUCGGCUCAUCGCAUCCUGGGGCGGUAGUACGUCCCAAGGGUUGGGCUGUUCGCCCAUGAAAGCGGUACGCGAGCUGGGUUCAGAACGUCGUGAGACAGUUCGGUCCAUAUCCGGUGUAGGCGUUAGAAUAUUGAGAGGAGCCUUCUUUAGUACGAGAGGACCGAGAAGGACAUACCUCUGGUGUACCAGUUAUCGUGCCAACGGUAAACGCUGGGUAGCUAUGUAUGGAGAGGAUAACCGCUGAAAGCAUCUAAGUGGGAAGCCCACCUCAAGAUGAG
rnacentral:rRNA from 1 species